rnacentral:rRNA from 1 species
GGGGGGGGGGGCAAGCGUUGUUCGGAAGUACUGGGCGUAAAGGGCGCGUAGGCGGUCCCGCAAGUCCUCCGUGAAAUCCCACAGCUCAACUGUGGAACUGCGAGGGAAACUGCAGGACUUGAGUCCGGGAGAGGAGAGUGGAAUUCCCAGUGUAGCGGUGAAAUGCGUAGAUAUUGGGAGGAACACCGGUGGCGAAGGCGGCUCUCUGGACCGGUACUGACGCUGAGGCGCGAAAGCUAGGGGAGCAAACGGGAUUAGAUACCCCGGUAGUCCUAGCCUUAAACGAUGAGCACUUGGUGUGGCGGGUAUCGACCCCUGCCGUGCCGAAGCUAACGCAUUAAGUGCUCCGCCUGGGGAGUACGGUCGCAAAGGCUG